GACGAACGCUGGCGGCGUGCUUAACACAUGCAAGUCGAACGGAAAGGCCCUGCUUUUGUGGGGUGCUCGAGUGGCGAACGGGUGAGUAACACGUGAGUAACCUGCCCUUGACUUUGGGAUAACUUUAGGAAACUGGGGCUAAUACCGGAUAGGAGCUCCUGCUGCAUGGUGGGGGUUGGAAAGUUUCGGCGGUUGGGGAUGGACUCGCGGCUUAUCAGCUUGUUGGUGGGGUAGUGGCUUACCAAGGCUUUGACGGGUAGCCGGCCUGAGAGGGUGACCGGCCACAUUGGGACUGAGAGACGGCCCAGACUCCUACGGGAGGCAGCAGUGGGGAAUAUUGCACAAUGGGCGGAAGCCUGAUGCAGCAACGCCGCGUGCGGGAUGACGGCCUUCGGGUUGUAAACCGCUUUCGCCUGUGACGAAGCGUGAGUGACGGUAAUGGGUAAAGAAGCACCGGCUAACUACG
rnacentral:rRNA from 1 species